ACUAAAACAUAUUGGACUACAAGAACACAUUGGUACACUGUGUGUUUUUUCUUUUUUUGAGAAAGGGCUUACUAUCAAAUUAAAAAAUAACAGAAAUUACAAUUCCAGCCAGGCAGUUUUGUUUAUGAGCUAGCAAAGCCCAUUAAUAACCCUUUUACGUAUGAAACCAUACUGCAUAAUAGAAACUCAAAUAAGUGAAAGCCCUAAGACCCAAAUGGUAGUUUUCUGUCUUCUCCUGCAAACUUUUGGAGAGAGGAAGGGACAUGCAGAGCUUUGAUCAACUGAUAAUCUGAGGGAGAGAUCUUCAAGCCAACCAUAUAGAAAACAUAAAAGAGGAUAGCCUUGGUGACUGAUCACGAAGGGCAGCGAUCUUGGAGCGGAUGGUACCAGACACGGAGGAGGUGACUGAAUGAGGAGGGCAGAAGAUUCGGCGGUGCAAGUGGUUGUUCCUUUCUGUCCAGAGCAGAUAUAUCACACAUUGGCAAGCUAGGAUAGAGAGAAGUUUUUGCAGUCUAGGGCAUCGAAGAGCUUGGAGGUCUAAGAGAAUCUGAUCCCAGGACUGAUUGGGGGAGAGAUUACACUUUGCUGCUAUUUCUGUCCAAACAUUCCAAGAAUAAGGGCACUCAAAGAAGAGGUGGUUUCGAGAUUCCGCCAUCGCGUUGCUGAGGAGACAGUUAGGGGCAGAAGGCAACCCCCAAUUUAUUAAUCUAUCUCGCAUCGGGCACCGGUUUAGGACAAAUAGCCACAUGAGAAAGCUAUGUUUAGGAAUCCCCAAGAAGUCCAAACUGUGUUGAACCAAGGAUAAUAAUUGAUAGGAAAGCAUACAGAGAUACAUGUUAAUCUGAUAGAGCCGGAGGGAGGGACCAAGAACCCUUAAUAAAUAAGUCAGGAACAGCAACACUUUUGGGGAUGCCAAGGCGAGAAGAAGGGUUAAGGUUCAGAAACGUCUACAAAUUCCCAAAGGGUGUUCAGUUGUCCAUCCAGAACUGACAGGUUUUUCCAUUCCCUAUCACUGUUUUUAUCCAUGGAAAAGCAACACUUCUCAAUCUUAGCAGUCUGUUUACCAUCCAAGAGUGCUUCUGCUUUAAAGUCCAAAAGUUGGAGACAGAACCAGAGAGAAUCUCCUUGAUGAACCAAGCGACCCAUAUAAAGCCCAAACUGAAGAAGAGCAUCCAGAUAAGCUUCAGAGCACAUGCUUUAUUACAGGAGAGGUUCAAAGUUAGCCAACGUUAGCUACUUUGUACAUAGUGGGACGCCAAGAUAUCUGAUAGGGAGCUCCCCAUGACACAGAUUUGAGUUAUGCUUUAUUUUCUCACUUCUUGUUGGGACAGUCCGCAAGAGAAGAAACAUGUUUUUGAGAUACUGAUUGCCAAACCUGAGCGACUUUGGAAAUCAGAUAGGACGUUCAGUACUCCUUGGAUAGAUUGUGUUGAGCCUUCAGUGAAUAUUAAGAGGUUGUCAGCAAAGCACAAGUGUGUUAUCUUCAACUUUGUACAUUUGUAGUGGUAUCCAAACUUCCCUUCUGCUGUCAUUUUGUCUAGGAGCGUGGAUAAGCAAUUCAUGGUACAAUGUAUGUUUCUCAUAACAAAUUAUCCAGGUAAGUCCCACAAGACUUAGGAAAAUGUCUCUUAAUGGAGAAUCUUUAUUUGAGGGAGAAUUUUUUUUAUAGAGAAAUUCCAGAUAUAAGAGGGUUGGUAGGUCUUAAAAGAGUUGAUUUGUCGAACAAUAUCUCGGGAAGUAUACCUGGAUACUUUUCAAGCUUUCCCUUGUUGGAGUAUCUGAAUCAAUCCAAUAAUAAUUUUGAGGGAAGAGUACCAACAAAAGCAAAAUUUCAGAACUCUAGUUUAGUUUCAGUGUCUGGAAACAACAAUCUAUGUGGAGACAUCAAGGACCUGAAACUAAAGCCAUGCUUUGAGAUAGCACCACCAAUGGACACAGAGCGUCCAUCUCUUUUGAAGAAAGUUGUAAUUGGGUCAGCACUACUAUAAUUUUUAUUUUGUUGUUGGUCAUAACUUCACUUUCUCUAUGUUGGUUCAUAAAAAGAAACAGGAAUCUUCAGACUGAUAAUCCAACUCCUUCUGCCUUGGAGACUUUCCAUGGGAAGAUAAGUUAUAGAGAGAUCAGAACUGCGACCGAUGAUUUCUCUUUGAGUAAUUUGAUUGGGUCAGGCAGUUUUGGUACUGUGUUUAAGGCGUUGCUUCCAACAAUGGACAAAGUUGUAGCAGUGAAAGUUCUAAACAUGGAGAGACGUGGAGCAAAGAAACGAAUUCAGAGCUCUCAUCUACGAGUUCAUAAGGCAUCGUAAUCUUGUUAACCUAUUGACAGCUUUUUCGAGUAUUGAUUACCAAGGAAACGAAUUCAGAGCUCUCAUCUACGAGUUCAUGCCCCACGUGUGGAUAUGUGGCUACAUCGGAAGGAAGUGGAAGAUAUUGGUUGACCCUUAAGAACACUAACACUCUUUGAAAGACUUAAGAUAGUGAUAGAUGUGGCUUCGGUUUUGGAUUAUCUUCAUGUUCAAUGCCUUGAACCUAUAGCUCAUUGUGAUCUUAAACCAAACAACAUCCUUCUAGAUGAUGAUUUCAUUGCCCAUGUAAGCGACUUUGGUCUCGCUCGGCUUCUUCUUAAAUUUGAUGAAGAGUACAUCCUCAAUCAACUAACCUCAGCUGGAGUGAGAGGAACCAUCGGCUAUGCUACACCAGGAAAGCCAUCAAUACAUGGUGAUAGGUGUAGCUUUGGUGUUCUUCUUUUGGAAAUGUUCACUGGAAAAAGACCAACCAGUGAAUUGUUCGAAGGAAACUAUACACUACACAGCUACACCAAGUCAGCGUUGCCAGACCCAACUAUUGGACAUCGUAGACAAAUCAAUGCUUCAUAGCAGUCUCAAAGACAUUUUUCCUCUUGUUGAGUGCUUGACACUUAUUUUGGAGGUGGGACUUAGGUGCUGUGAAGGAU